rnacentral:sRNA from 1 species
GGCUGUAACUGAGAGCUCCAGGGGUGGCUACUAGAUGUGCCCUCUCCUCCUUUCCCUUCUCUUCCUGCUGGGGACAAGGGCCUGUCCAGCUCCGUCCUAGACUUUUGAGAAUAUAGAUUGGGGAGGGGAGUAUAGGCAUAGAGAUGACAGAAUGACAAAUGAAAUUUGCCCUUUAAAAUUGUUCAAAAUAUGAUCUGCUAAACAUCUCCAGAAACGGACCAAUGGACUGCGAAGAACUCCUAAACAGGUGGAUCCAGGUCUUGCUCUGUUGCCCAGGCUGAAGUGCAGUGGCAAGAUCUUGGCUCCCUGCAACCUCUGCCUCCCAGGUUCAACCGAUUCUCGUACCUCAGCCACCCAAGUAGCUGGGAUUGCAGGUUUACCAAAGAUGCAGGUCAUUAGGAACUAUUCUGGAACACCACCCCCAGCUCUGCAUGAAGGACCCCCUUUACACCUCCAGGCCGGGGAUACGGUUGAACUUCUGAAAGGAGAUGCACACAGUCUGUUUUGGCAGGGCAGAAAUUUAGCAUCUGGAGAGGUUGGAUUUUUUCCAAGUGAUGCAGUCAAGCCUUGCCCAUGU